UUCCUUAUUCACUCUUUGCAGACAACUUUAACAAGAAGAUGUCGUGCGCCCCGACUUCAAGACCAUCCAGAAGAUGAUGGCAGAGGCACGGGCGUUGAAGGCCUCUUCCUCCUCGUACAAAAAGCAGAUGGAGGACUUGGUGGAAGCCAGCAAGAGGCUUCAGCCUCCGACGGAGGAGGAGGUACCGGAGGACCCGGAGGCUGACCUUCGAAGGAAGGGCAAGAAGAGUGCCGCCCCUCCAAAACGCCCAACUGUGGCGAGGCCACCCCCAGCUCUGAGGCAGACCACAAUUCCCACCGGGGUGGCCAUUCCGGAGAAAAGGCUUGCCCCAAUUGAGCUUGCCACUGCCCCGGCCACAACCUCCCUCACUGCAGUGCCAAUUGAUCAAGUGCUGGGGCAGCAGAAGAGAAAGAGGCCCCGUCCCUCUAAGGAGGUCGACUUUUUGGGCACCAACCCUGAAGAGCCCGUAAGGGAAGUGUUGGAGGCUCUUCCUCCAAAAACGGCUACGGUAGCGGUGGUCCACAAUAAAUACUGGACAGAGGAGUGGAGGGACCACAUCGCCUCCUGUACGGUUGAGGAUUUGGUGGCCGCGAACAGCGCCUGCGUGGCUCGGGCUCUGAGUACAAGCAUCCAGCUUGAGGGCUUGGUGAAGGAUCUGAACUCUAAGAGGGAGGACCUUGCCAAGCGCCUCGAAGAGGCGAUGCAUUAUGGGGAUGCCGUGCGAGCGGCCCAGGCCAAAGCCAUGCAGGCGGAGGAGGCGAAGAAGAAGGCUGAGGCCCAGCUAACUGUCGCCAAAGCAGAGGUAGAACGACUGAAGAAGGAGUUGUACGAGGUGAAGUGCCAAGUGGCUGCUAUGACUCAACGGCUUGAUCACGCCAAUGAGUACCACAAGCUCGCCACCGAGGCUCUGGAGGCCUCCAACAAAGAGAAGGCAGAGGCUCAGUCAGAGAAGAUUGCCUCUUUGAAUGAGGAGUUGAAGUCUGCGGGGGAGGUGGCAGUCCAGAACUUCAUAGAUCACUUUGAAGACCAUCCCCUGUAUGACGACUUCGCCAACUUCUAGGCCUCAUGGAGUGCCCAAAGCUUAUUGGGUCGACUGGAGGAGGUGCACCCCACUCUGGACAUCUCUUCAUUGGAGGCAGAGUUCUGGGGGCCAACUAGAGGUCGGCCUGAUAGGCUCGUCAAGGGGGCUCCGGAGGCCCAGGAGGCGGCCAAUGUAGAAGUCCCUCCAGCGGAGUAGGGUUACUUUUUGUAAUGGCUUCGGCCUCCU
rnacentral:lncRNA from 1 species